GAUGAACGCUGGCGGCGCGCCUAACACAUGCAAGUCGAACGGCACCCCUCUCCGGAGGGAAGCGAGUGGCGAACGGCUGAGUAACACGUGGAGAACCUGCCCCCUCCCCCGGGAUAGCCGCCCGAAAGGACGGGUAAUACCGGAUACCCCGGGGUGCCGCAUGGCACCCCGGCUAAAGCCCCGACGGGAGGGGAUGGCUCCGCGGCCCAUCAGGUAGACGGCGGGGUGACGGCCCACCGUGCCGACAACGGGUAGCCGGGUUGAGAGACCGACCGGCCAGAUUGGGACUGAGACACGGCCCAGACUCCUACGGGAGGCAGCAGUGGGGAAUCUUGCGCAAUGGGGGGAACCCUGACGCAGCGACGCCGCGUGCGGGACGGAGGCCUUCGGGUCGUAAACCGCUUUCAGCAGGGAAGAGUCAAGACUGUACCUGCAGAAGAAG
rnacentral:rRNA from 1 species